AAAAGAAGCAGAAUACAGAAGAGGAAGAAUAUGAAGAGACGGAAAAGGAAGACCACACAGAUGAGUCUAAGGUGAGAGAAACAGAGGGUGAGACGUGACAAGAUAGAAAGCAUCAAACAUCAGGUGAUGAAGAAGUGGAAAAAGAAGAAAAGAAGCAGAAUACAGAAGAGGAAGAAUAUGAAGAGACGGAAAAGGAAGACCACACAGAUGAGUCUAAGGUGAGAGAAACAGAGGGUGAGACGUGACAAGAUAGAAAGCAUCAAACAUCAGGUGAUGAAGAAGUGGAAAAAGAAGAAAAGAAGCAGAAUACAGAAGAGGAAGAAUAUGAAGAGACGGAAAAGGAAGACC